rnacentral:lncRNA from 1 species
GGCUUGCUCAGACUUGAUCCCAGGUGGAUGUCGCCAUCUCAUGAUGGACUACUGCUGGGCCCUUCCAGUAUUCUGACUUAGUAGGUCUGAUACACGCAGCUGUAGUGGGCAUUUACCCCGUGGUUGAGCUUUCCAUCUCACCGGAGCCUGGUAACAUACCAGGAGCUGUUCUCUUACAGGUGUGCCGCCCUUGGCAUGACCCCACGCCAGGACCCCAGGGAUACAUUCUGGCUCCUCCCCUGGGGCUGUGUCUGCGUGUGUGUGUCCUGCAGGGCAGCCAGCCGAUCUCUGUUCCCCUCAUCUUCCUGUCAUCGGUGAUUGGCCUUCAUUCUGGCAGCUUGUUGGCUGGAGACGGAGCGCUCCUGACAAAUUCUGCAGAGAUGAGAACGUAGCCAAGAACUGCUCCUUAGUCAGUUAAAACGUUGCGUCCACAAUAGCCAUCAGCGGGGGAGGGGGUGCUGUGCAGGGCCGUCUGGGUUUCCAGAGGAGUGCAGAGUCAGCCCCUCCUGAAGUCACGCCUUCCAUCACCGGACAGGCAGUCUCGGCGUCGCCCGGAGAGCAGCUGGCCCACUGUGGCUGUGAGCGAUUGCCUGGUGCCUGGGAAUCACCUUGACAGCCAAGGCAAAUAGGCCAGACCCCAGACACGCCGUCUGGGAUCUGAACUGUCCGGAGCAGCCGUCUACCCAAGCUGCUAAUUCACAGUGAUGCCGACUCACAGGCAAAGCAUUGCGACGUCUGCCUCAGCUCCCGAGAGCCUGCCUCUGGUUCCUUGGUGUGUGUUACACGGCGACGGCACGGGCGUGUGUCCUAAGCAUCAUCCGCUUACGUUACGUGGCGAUGAGUUUGUGACUUAAAUGCAGGGGGAGGUCGAAACGAUUCUCUAAGGCUUUUUGUAGCUCAAUUCCCAGUUCGCUGUUCAGUGUGAAACACCAGCUCUUCGUUCUGGUGGGCGUCAGCAGACAGGACUGGUGCUCCUCCAGCCGUGUUUCCCUGGCCGCGAUGAUUUAGGAAUUUUAAUAAACUACAAUCUGAAAACUCCCA